UGAAAUCGGACGGCUUAACCGUUCGGCUUGCAAGGGAAACUGUUAGCCUUGGGGCCGGAAGACGCUGAGGGUACCUCGGGGGUAGCGGUGAGAUGCUGUAAUCCUCGGAGGACCACCAAUGGCGAAGGCACUCAGCGAGAACGGACCUGACGGUGAGGGAUGAAGGCUGGGGGAGCGAACCGGAUUAGAUACCCGGGUAGUCCCAGCUGUAAAGUAUGCAGACCAGGUGCUGGAUGUCCCUCGAGGGCACUCGGUGCCGUAGGGAAGCCGUUAAGUCUGCCGCCUGGGGAGUACGGUCGCAAGGCUGAAACUUAAAGAAAUUGGCGGGGGAGCACCACAAGGGGUGGAGCCUGCGGUUUAAUUGGAUUCAACGCGGACAACUCACGGGGCGACGGCAGAAUGAAGGUCAGGCUGACGACUUUACUGGACUAGCCGAGAGGUAGUGCAUGGCCGCCGUCAGCUCGUACCGUGAAGCGUCCUGUCAAGUCAGGCAACGAGCGAGACCCUCACCACUAGUUGCCAACGGAUCCCACUGGGAUGCCGAGCACUCUAGGGGGACCGCUGUCGCUAAGGCAGAGGAAGGAGAGGGCAACGGUAGGUCCGUAUGCUCCGAAUCCCCCGGGCUACACGCGGGCUACAAUGCGUGGGGCAGAGGGAUGCAACCCCGAAAGGGGAAGCCAAACCCUAAACCUACGCUCAGUUCGGAUCGAGGGCUGAAACUCGCCCUCGUGAAGUUGGAAUCCCUAGUAAUUGCGUGCCAACAUCGCGCGGUGAAUACGUCCCUGCUCCUUGCACACACCGCCCGUCAAGCCACUCGAGUGAGAUUUGGAUGAGGCUUGUCGGAAAUUGGGCAAGUCGAAUCCGGGUUUUGCAAGAGGGGCUAAGUCGUAACAAGGUAACC
rnacentral:rRNA from 1 species